AAUUCCACAGACUUCGAGAUCAUGACCUGAUCUGACAUCAGGAGUUGAAGGCUUAACUAACUGAGUCACCCAGGUGCCCCACAAGUGUGUUUAUUUUUAAAAACCUAUGUGGUUAUUGACGAGGCAGGGGUGUUGAUUCCUUUUCAAGCAUGUGACAGGAAAUAGGGAUCUGGGAAGGGUAGCAGGACCCAGAGUGCAUGCUUUUUCCUGUGCGUGUAUCUGCUUGCAUUGCAAGGAGAGGAAAUAUUAAAUGUCUAAUGUUCAGUCUCAUCACCACGACACAUGAGCACCCACUGCAAAAUGAAGACAGAGCCUUGACUCUGGAGGAGCAAAUAUUAGAAAAGCUUUGCCUUCCAAGCCUGGACUACUCCAGUUGAACCAAUUGUAAGAGGUGAAAAUCCACGGCUUGCCCAUUUUGAAACCAGACGGACAAAACACUGAAGGUGACUCCCAGAGCUCUCGACCGUGUGCUCCUCCUGGCCUGUGAUGAUUGGUUCUUAACGUGGGUGUCAGGGCAAGAGAGAGACGGGGGGGGGGAAGCCUGUAUAUGUGCCCUGGGAUCUCACACACUCAUUAUUGUCUUCAAUACUUACUUUUGAGCGUCAGGCUCAAGAUUUCUUGGCAUCGGUCUGGGAAUCUAGGUCCCGCUAGGUACACGACCUUCGCCCAGUUCUGAACAAGAGUUUCCUGGCAGGUCCCCGCCGCAAGAUUUCAGAUUUGUGUACAUUGGGCUAGAUGGGCCAAGACUAAGGCUACUACUAGGAGACCUGAGGUUUUGGGGUUUCUUUCUGCUCAUCGAAUUUAAAUACUGCUUCACUAGACGGCUUACUCUCAACAAAUGCUUUUUUUGAGGGCAUUCCUCCCAGACGUUUUCCUAAUAGUUUACAUUAAAACAAAUAGCGAAUCUGGGCGUCUUAUUCAAAGAUGAACUUUCUCAGAGCCAGAACCACUAUGAAAUGUUUGUAGGACACACCUGGAGUGAUCUGGUUUCUUGUCCCUUUACUUUUUUGUCACUGGGGAGCAAGGGAGGGUUGGAUAGAAACUGUUACCAAUUUGCACUGAAUCCUUCCCUUCAAUGCAUCUUACCUCGCCUAUGUUGGCAUAGACUCAGUCCUUGACACCGUAAAACAUUAUAGCAAGGGGCACCUGGGUGGCUCAGUCGGUUAAGCGUCCGACUUCGGCUCAGGUCACGAUCUCGCGGUCCGUGAUUCAAGCCCCGCAUUGGGCUCUGUGCUGGCAGCAGGGCCUGCUUGGGAUUCUCUCUCCCCCUCUCCCUCUGCCCCUCUCCUGCUUGUGCUUUCUCUCGCUCUCAAAUAAAUAAAUAAACUUAAAUUUUUUUAAAAAAAA